rnacentral:rRNA from 1 species
UACAGAGGGUGCGAGCGUUGUCCGGAAUCACUGGGCGUAAAGGGCGCGUAGGUGGUUUGAUAAGGGUGUGGUGAAAGUCCGGGGCUCAACCCCCGGAUCUGCCGUGCCGACUGUCAAACUCGAGGACUGUAGAGGCAGACGGAAUUCCGGGUGUAGCGGUGGAAUGCGUAGAGAUCCGGAGGAAGACCGGUGGCGAAGGCGGUCUGCUGGGCAGUUUCUGACACUGAGGCGCGACAGCGUGGGGAGCAAACAGG